AUGCUUCUCCUAAAGACUAAGCCAUGCAUGCCUUCGAAUAUGAGGAAGCAAUUCUCUCUGAAUCUGCGAACGGCUCCGCAAACCAGUUGUAAACCACAGCAAGCCCGCAAGGGUGGGCCUCGGCUCGCCUGCGCGAUACGGAUAACCCUGGUAAUUCUAAGGCUAAUACGUGUAUGGAACACCCGGUGGACCGGCCUUGUGCUGGGAAACCGGGAGGCGAGGGAUUGAAUGUUUGGAUUACCAGGAACGGGCG
rnacentral:rRNA from 1 species